rnacentral:rRNA from 1 species
UUGGAGGGCAAGUCUGGUGCCAGCAGCCGCGGUAAUUCCAGCUCCAAUAGUGUAUAUUAAAGUUGUUGCAGUUAAAAAGUUCAUAGUUGAAUUUCGGGGUUAGUAGGCUGGUUAUAAACUGAACUCUGACGGGUUAUGUACUGGUCUUACUAAUUCCUCCUUCCUGAUGAACUGUAGUGCCAUUAAUUUGGUGUUGCAGGGAAUCUGGACUGUUACUUUGAAAAAAUUAGAGUGUUUAAAGCAGGC